AAUGAACGUUGGCGGCGUGGAUUAGGCAUGCAAGUCGUACGGGCCGCAAGGCCAGUGGCGCAAGGGUGAGUAAGGCGACGGUAACCAACCCCAGGAAUGGGUAUAGCCGCGGGAAACUGCGGGUAAUCCCCAGCGACGCGUGACGUCGGCAUCGAUGUCACGCCAAAGCUCUGGCGUCCUGGGACGGGCCGUCGUGGUAUUAGGUAGUUGGCGGGGUAACGGCCCACCAAGCCGACGAUGCCUACCGGGCGUGCGAGCGUGGCCCGGCACACUGGGACUGAGACACUGCCCAGACUCCUACGGGAGGCUGCAGUCGAGAAUCUUCGGCAAUGGGCGCAAGCCUGACCGAGCGACGCCGCGUGGAGGAUGAAGGCCUUCGGGUUGUAAACUCCUGUCGAGGGGAAAGAAGGCCCGCAAGGGCUUGACUGAUCCCUGGAGGAAGCACGGGCUAAGUUCGUGCCAGCAGCCGCGGUAAUAC
rnacentral:rRNA from 1 species